GUGUCAGCAGCCGCGGUAAUACGAAGGUGGCAAGCGUUGUUCGGAAUCACUGGGCUUAAAGCGCACGUAGGCGGUCCUGUAAGCGUCUUGUGAAAUCCCUCGGCUCAACCGGGGAAUUGCUGGGCGAACUGCAGGACUUGAGGCAAGUAGGGGUGCAUGGAACUCUUGGUGGAGCGGUGAAAUGCGUAGAUAUCAAGAGGAACGCCGGAGGCGAAAGCGGUGCACUGGGCUUGCCCUGACGCUGAGGUGCGAAAGCUAGGGGAGCGAACGGGAUUAGAUACCCCAGUAGUCC
rnacentral:rRNA from 1 species